AGACAGCAGCCGCCGCGGGAAUACGGAGGAUCCGAGCGUUAUCCGGAUUUAUUGGGUUUAAAGGGUGCGUAGGCGGCCUAUUAAGUCAGGGGUGAAAGACGGUAGCUUAACUAUCGCAGUGCCUUUGAUACUGAUGGGCUUGAAUGUACUUGAAGUGGGCGGAAUGUGACAAGUAGCGGUGAAAUGCAUAGAUAUGUCACAGAACACCGAUUGCGAAGGCAGCUCACUAAAGUAUGAUUGACGCUGAGGCACGAAAGCGUGGGGAUCAAACAGGAUUAGAUACCCCCGUAGUCCCUGUCUCUUAUAC
rnacentral:rRNA from 1 species